rnacentral:rRNA from 1 species
UACGUAGGGUGCAAGCGUUGUCCGGAAUUAUUGGGCGUAAAGAGCUCGUAGGCGGUCUGUCGCGUCUGCUGUGAAAAUCCAGGGCUCAACCCUGGACCUGCAGUGGGUACGGGCAGACUAGAGUGCGGUAGGGGAGAUCGGAAUUCCUGGUGUAGCGGUGAAAUGCGCAGAUAUCAGGAGGAAUACCGAUGGCGAAGGCAGGUCUCUGGGCUGACACUGACGCUCAUGCACGAAAGCGUGGGGAGCAAACAGG